GUAGAAGAAGAAGAAAUGUCACCACACCUGCCUUUGCUUUGCGGCAAAUACCAAUUAGCCUUCAUGAAAGGGUUCCUGCUUAGGAGUCUGUGAUUGUGAGGAGUGCUGAGGUCCAGGAUCAGUCGAUGUGAAGAUGGAUAUGCAAGAUGAAACUGAACACCCCCUCAUUCAACUCCUGGUUGGAGGACUCUUGGCUAAAUGGGACCUGAUCAGAGCUUAACAAGGAGAUGGCCGCAAGCGCGAGGGCUAUCAUUUCUACUUCAAGGAAGUUGUUAAGAAUGACUAGCAGGUGGAAUAGACAGCAGAGGAGGGAUUUCACCAGCAGACUCACCUGGCAGGAGUGCGAUACACCGAGCCUCGCUGGAGAAUAUCGUGUAUUUUGAUGUCAGGAGAAAGUGUGUAAGGUGGCUCUGACAGCGCCUUCAUUAGAGAGGCUGUCGCUCGUCGCCUUGUCAUCAAGUCGCUUAACUAGAGUUAUAACACAGCAACACAAAGCAUCGUCUUUAUCUAUCCUGGGGUUUCACUGAUGUCCUUAUUCUACUGCUAUAAAAGGAUUCAUUUAAAAUAAAAAAAAGGUGAAAAUGUAUAUUGCUGAGGAAAAUACUGAAUGUACAUCAGUGUAGUAUCGUGCUGAACAAAUGACCCCUCCUCACUUCUCUGCAGUGGUCUCUCAUCAUGCAGCAGAACACAUUAAAUAAUGAA